rnacentral:ncRNA from 2 species
AUGUAGUGCUAGGGGUGCUAUAUAAGAGCUGAGAAAUGAAUUAUUUAUGAUCAAUUCAUUAACCCUUGUACCUGAACUAGAUAAUUCUAGCGUAGGGAAGCCUUUUAUAGAUAUA